AUGCAGCCCUACCAUUGCGAUUAUUUGCAUGUGGAUGACUUGGUGGUUGCACGUAGUUUUGAUUUUGAUCAACCUCAUCCUCAUAAUCUCUCGCAUAAUCAUCCUCCUCCUCAUAAGCAGCAGGAGCCACAGAAGUAUCAACAGCAGCACCAACAGUUUUGCCAGGCUCAAGAGGGACACGGCUCACUCGGCGGAGGGCAGUUUCGCGAGGUGGAGGUAGUCGUUGUAGUAGUCGUUGUAGUAGUAGUCGUCGUCGUCGUCGUCGUCGUCGUCGUUGUCGUUGUAGUUGUAGUAGUCGUUGUAGUUGUAGUAGUAGUAGUAGUAGUAGUAGUAGUAGUAGUUGUUGUUGUUGUUGUUGUUGUUGUUGCAGCCGGUGGUGGUGGUGGAAGACGCACAAGCACUUCAUUAAAUUUGUUAUCGAGCUUUGUUUCGAACGUCUUCUCAAGGCCAGUUAUCUUAUCCAUGGCCUCUUCAAAAUUGUUUAGCACAUCUUGCACCUGUUCAGUCAUCAUUUGCUGA
rnacentral:rRNA from 1 species